rnacentral:rRNA from 1 species
AGUGAACGCUGGCGGUAGGCCUAACACAUGCAAGUCGAACGGCAGCACAGUAAGAGCUUGCUCUUACGGGUGGCGAGUGGCGGACGGGUGAGGAAUACAUCGGAAUCUACUUUUUCGUGGGGGAUAACGUAGGGAAACUUACGCUAAUACCGCAUACGACCUACGGGUGAAAGCAGGGGAUCUUCGGACCUUGCGCGAUUGAAUGAGCCGAUGUCGGAUUAGCUAGUUGGCGGGGUAAAGGCCCACCAAGGCGACGAUCCGUAGCUGGUCUGAGAGGAUGAUCAGCCACACUGGAACGGAGCAACGGCCCAGACCCCUACGGGAGGCAGCAGUGGGGAAUAUUGGCCAAUGGGCGAAAGCCUGAUCCAGCCAUACCGCGUGGGUGAAGAAGGCCUUCGGGUUGUAAAGCCCUUUUGUUGGGAAAGAAAAGCAGCAGGUUAAUACCCCGCUGUUCUGACGGUACCCAAAGAAUAAGCACCGGCAAACUUCGU